CAGGCUACGGUAUUCCACCGCUCAUCUCCCUCUCGUGCUACCGUAUCCCUUCCCCGUUUCACCUCUCCGCCCCUGGUUACCGCUCCACUGAACAGAGCAGAAAGCAGUAUUACCGAAUACACUUACGUGAUUGUAGCCCUAAGCGCUGCGGUUGGUCUUGCUUUUUCCGAGGCAUUUUCCUUCUUUUUUUUUUACAUUCUUCUUCUCAGGUCUGUGGGGUGAAACGUGUAUCCUUAUCUUCGUUGGAACGAAAGGAUACUCCGGGACUCCCGUGUAGAGUGUCCUCGUUGGUUAGUAGGGUAGAUCCGGGGACUGUCGCGAGCACUGACCGGGGCAGUGGCCGUGCCUGCUGCUUCCCGCGGCUCUGCUCUCUCUCUCUCUGUGCAGUGUGUGUGUGUGUGUGUGUGUGUACAACCAAUAAUGGAGAAAGAUCAAAGGGCAAAAGAGCAGCAGAGGAGACUCACACAGAUAGAGAGACGGGAAGGAGAGGAGAGAGAAGGAGAGGAGAGAGAAGGUGAGAGAGGAGAGGGAAGG
ensembl:lncRNA